rnacentral:lncRNA from 1 species
UUGAAAGUAAAACAUAGCCAGGAGAAGAUGCGGUUGUACUAAAAGUGUGUAUUCAAGUUUGUUCUCACAUAGGUUGUGAAGCAAUAUCCGCAUGCAUAGAAUGACUUGUCACUGAACAAGACAACACCCGAAGCAUAUUAGGACUUCAGCAGACUUCGAGGGUUAUAGCCAUACUAGUUGCAAAACACAAGUACACAACACCCUUUUUUUCUCAAAAGAGAACACACCACCAUUCAGAGGCCGAAGAUAGAUCAACCGAGGCUACUGCAGGACAUCAUCGACCUGUCUCAAACUCCAACACUGAUUUUGCAGCAGCAUAUCUUGUUGCAGUUCUCCUCCCGGCCAAUCAAUCAAUCCAUGCGAUGUUCCUGUUAUUAUUAAACUGAACAUAAUUAGGACAAACCCUCAGAAAGGGAUCAAGGAACAAAAUCGUAUCCUCAGUCCUCCUCACAGAUCGGACCUCGGAAUCAAAUCUUUUUUUUUUGAACCAUGCAGGAGGACUGCAUGUACAUUAUUAAGAUAGAGAGAAAGGACCUCGGAAUCAAAUCUUAGAAGGGGAAUGGGCGUGGCGGAGGAGCAGAGAUUGAAUACCUGUGGAUUUUGGCUAGAUGCCUGGUUGUGAGGGGAGCGAGGCCGUUACAGACUGAAUACAUCACAGCCCUGCCUCGCUUCGAUCAACCAGGCCUACCUUGCUUCGCCCCACGCAGACCGAUCUUGUUUAAUAUUUUUCCUCUCCUGAUGAUCUAAUCGUUCGAAUCGUAUCAAAGGUCAUCUGCUUGAUGAGAACCAGUCUCCAAGAUCUUCUUGAAUCAAUUGACCAAAACCAUGAUGAACACCACCUGUAGAAAACAUUAGCACCUUAAAACGGGUCUACACUCUACAACCGUAGCAAAUUUAUGUGACGAGCUAAGAUAUAGGGCGAUAAUGCUAAUAGGAUGGAGGAGAGGAGCAGAGGGGACGAUAGGUUGCCGCAACCAAGUGGAGAACCAUGGACACUGCGAAG